rnacentral:rRNA from 1 species
CACGUAGGGCGCAAGCGUUGUCCGGAAUUAUUGGGCGUAAAGAGCUCGUAGGUGGUUUGUUACGUCUGCUGUGAAAACCUAGGGCUUAACCCUGGGCUUGCAGUGGAUACGGGCAGACUAGAGGUAGGUAGGGGAGAAUGGAAUUCCUGGUGUAGCGGUGGAAUGCGCAGAUAUCAGGAGGAACACCAAUGGCGAAGGCAGAUCUCUGGGCCGUAACUGACGCUGAGGAGCGAAAGCAUGGGGAGCGAACAGG